AUCGUGUCACUGAGCAGAUGGAAAAUGGCUUAUUUCUUUGGUUGUUGGGAAAAUGCAUCCAGUAGAAGCUGCCCAGAUGGAGGCUCUGUUUUGCAUUGGACAAUGUACUGCAUUGCAGCUUAUUGUCAUCGGCCCGAUGCCAUCUGCAAAUGGAAGCAUCUGGAGGACCUGAUCAUCCAUAGGAAAUUCUUUCCUGGCCCCAGUUUUUCAUUGGAUUUCCUCCAUCAUAGUGACAACUACCCUUGAUCACAUUACUUUAGGGCUUCUGGAGACGUCAUAUAGCCUUUCCAAGAAUUAACUGGGGCUCUUUAGAGGAAGAUUUCUGCAAAAGGACUUUGAUUCUACAUGGAGGGAAUGCAGCAAGAUAAUCAGUUUGACCUUGGAUAUGGUGAAGCAGAAAAAAACCUGACUGCACCUACCGCCUCCUCCCCGGGUUCCCAUAUCUCUCCAGACCACGACCAGCCUCUGACUCUGGAAGUUCCAAGGUCAAGCCUCCUCCCUCAGCUGUAAUCCCUUUGCUGUUUGGCCAUGACCAGGACGGGAAGACCCCAUGUCUUCCCAGUAUCCUAAAAGCCGUUCGGUUAGGAAUCUGUUCCUAAAACACGAGUGCGUUCAAAAAGGAGUUUGUUGCAUGAUGAGGAGAGGUGGUCUUCCUACUGCCCACCAAUAUGGUGGCCUUUGAGGCCAUGGCCUUGACAAAAGGGCAGCUCUCUGGUCAGGAACCGUUUGGUGACCCGUCUCUGGAAGCUUAGUCAUUCUCCACUCAUUAUAAUUGUUCCCUGCACAUCUGGCUUUGUUCCCUAUUGCCAGGAGACCCCGGGGAUCUUGGUUAAUGGCCAGCAGCAGGUAUGAAACCCCAUGGAAGAAAAGAAAGAAAGAUCACAGGCAUAGAAAGAAUAGUUUAACCCCUCCUCUCCCCACUCCCAGCCAUGACGUUAGCAAGCAUAGCAGGCACACACUGAGCCAGUCGUCUUCUUGCUCUCUCUCAAAGGCAAAUCCUCCUGCCUGGGUGCAUUCCUGAGUAAUGCAUCAUCAGGGGUCUGUUGCUUGGGUGAUCUAUGGGUGUGAUGCAUCCCUUGGAGCGGCCCUGCGCAAGUGAUGCAUUGGGCUCUAACAGAAUGUCAGCCUCUCAGUAGCAUCACGUCAACUAGCAAAGAACGAGUUCUGGACACUUGGUACAUUUUAAUUUAUUAUUUUGGAAACUUAACAUUAUUUAUUUCUCAACUUGGCAGGUUUUUUUCUCCUU
rnacentral:lncRNA from 1 species